AUUGAACGCUGGCGGCAGGCCUAACACAUGCAAGCCGAGCGGAUGACGGGAGCUUGCUCCUUGAUUCAGCGGCGGACGGGUGAGUAAUGCCUAGGAAUCUGCCUGGUAGUAGGGGACAACGUUUCGAAAGGAACGCUAAUACCGCAUACGUCCUACGGGAGAAAGCAGGGGACCUUCGGGCCUUGCGCUAUCAGAUGAGCCUAGGUCGGAUUAGCUUGUUGGUGAGGUAAUGGCUCACCAAGGCGACGAUCCGUAACUGGUCUGAGAGGAUGAUCAGUCACACUGGAACUGAGACACGGUCCAGACUCCUACGGGAGGCAGCAGUGGGGAAUAUUGGACAAUGGGCGAAAGCCUGAUCCAGCCAUGCCGCGUGUGUGAAGAAGGUCUUCGGAUUGUAAAGCACUUUAAGUUGGGAGGAAGGGUUGUAGAUUAAUACUCUGCAAUUUUGACGUUACCGACAGAAUAAGCACCGGCUAACUCUGUGCCAGCAGCCGCGGUAA
rnacentral:rRNA from 1 species